AGGAGGUCUGGUGGGCCGGUAUGGUGGGACGUGGGACCAAUGGGCUUGGGUGAGGCUCUCUGUGUGGCUGGGAGCUGUUGAGGCAUCUGGUAACCUUUGGGUCCCAUGGAAACCACCUUUUGGGAAGACGCUCUCCUGACAGGGAAUCCCUUGGGACUGGGACCUAUACUCAGAAUGGUUAUGUGGCUCUGCCCCAGGGGACUCAGUGAGGAAUGGGAGGACUGGCCAUCUGUGUCCUCACCAGGAACACCCUCAACACAGGAGCUAAACAGCUCCGUUCUCAGGGACAUCGUGUACGUUCUUGACCAGGACCCACUCAGUGCCAAUAAUACUUUUCCGCCACUAGCCAUCAAUCACGAUAAUCCCAGCUGUCUUUAGACAUUGCCAAAUGUCCCCCAGGAAUGCAAUAUUGUCCCAGGUCAAGAGCCAUUAACCCAGGAGUGCCAAAAGACCUUGCUUUUUUUUUUUUAAUAUAUUUUAUUUUAUUUUAUUUUACAAUGUUGUGUUUUAGAGUCCCGGAUGAAAGAGACUAACUACCUAGCCAGAGUCUGGGGUUUCUUGUCUGAAGACUCUGGCACUAGGGACCCCGCUGGGGUUCUAGAUGCAACUGUGGCAUGGAGCCCGGAACCAGAAAGGGCUGUUGUGAAAUGGGGGAGGUUUCAUUUGAGGGAAGAUUGGGGAGAUGUGCUGUGGGGUAAAAAUGGGGUCACACUGGGGCCACAUGGCAUGCAGGGUCUUAAGCCACAAGGAGCAGGAACUUGAGCCAGAACACAAGGACAGGGUGUGUCCCGGACUCCCUGCGGGGGGUGCUGGAACUGACUUCUCCCUAAAGCCGGACUAGAGGGCUGCAGUCCAAGGAGACCUGUAACGCUCGCCUGGGACUGUGUGCCGUCCUCUUCUCCAGCCGGAACUGCACCACAGGCAGCCUUUAUUGCAGGACCACCUCAUUGCUGAUAUGGGGACGUGUGGGUUAAAUCUUAACUGUCAACUUGACUGGAUUGAGAAACACUUGGAAGGUCUGUAAAAUCCGAAGGUAUUUCUAGUGAGGACUAAAGACGGCAGAAGACCUACCGCUGGCUGUGGCUGUCGUCACACAGCAGGAUGGAGGUUUGGGUGGGAUAAGGAGAGACCAAGGAAGCGUUGUCCCCUCAGGAGCAUCUUCUUUCUGCUUCCCAGCUGCCCUUUGUGAGCGGUUCUGUUCCUCACCCCCUACCCCGGCCCCGCUGCCUACCCCCAGCCUUAGUGGGUAGAAAUCUUGGAAACCAGGAGUUAAAAUAAAUUCUUUCUCCCUCAA
rnacentral:sRNA from 1 species